rnacentral:ncRNA from 1 species
CCCUUCGGGGGCAAAGUGACAGGUGGUGCAUGGUUGUCGUCAGCUCGUGUCGUGAGAUGUUGGGUUAAGUCCCGCAACGAGCGCAACCCUUAUUGUUAGUUGCCAUCAUUUAGUUGGGCACUCUAGCGAGACUGCCGGUGACAAACCGGAGGAAGGUGGGGAUGACGUCAAAUCAUCAUGCCCCUUAUGACCUGGGCUACACACGUGCUACAAUGGGAAGUACAACGAGUCGCGAAGUCGCGAGGCUAAGCUAAUCUCUUAAAGCUUCUCUCAGUUCGGAUUGUAGGCUGCAACUCGCCUACAUGAAGCCGGAAUCGCUAGUAAUCGCGGAUCAGCACGCCGCGGUGAAUACGUUCCCGGGCCUUGUACACACCGCCCGUCACACCACGAGAGUUUGUAACACCCGAAGUCGGUGAGGUAACCUUUUGGAGCCAGCCGCCUAAGGUGGGAUAGAUGAUUGGGGUGAAGUCGUAACAAGGUAGCCGUAUCGGAAGGUGCGGCUGGAUCACCUCCUUU